AUUGAACGCUGGCGGCAUGCUUUACACAUGCAAGUCGAACGGCAGCGCCGGCUUCGGCCUCGCAGCGAGUGGCGAACGGUUGGGUAAUGCAUUUAAACGUGCCCUGACGUGGGGGAUAGCCCGGCAAAAGCGGGAUUAAUACCGCAUCCGACCUGUGGGUGCAAGUGGGGGAGCGAGAGGCCUCGCGCCUUUGUAGCGGCCUAUGUCGGAUCAGCUAGUUGGUGGGGUAACGGCUUACCAAGGCGGCGAAGCGUAGCUGGUCUGAAGGGACGACCCGACAGACUGGGAGUGAGAAACGGCAGAGACUCCGAGGGGAGGAAGCAGUGGGGAAUCUUGGACGAGGGGGGCAAGGCGGAUCCAGCCAUGUCGGGGGCGGGAAGAAGGCGCUCGGGUGGGAGAGUGCUGAAGGUCGGGAAGAAGUCCAGUGGGCUAAUACGCCAGGAGAAUGACGGUACCGGAAGAAUAAGCACCGGCUAACUACGUG
rnacentral:rRNA from 1 species